rfam:Lottia gigantea unplaced genomic scaffold LOTGIsca_1112, whole genome shotgun sequence.
AACCAGGUGUUUUUUAACACCACCUGAGUCUUUGUAUGAUGCAAUAU